rnacentral:rRNA from 1 species
GACGAACGCUGGCGGCGCGCCUAACACAUGCAAGUCGAACGAGCGAGAGAGAGCUUGCUUUCUCGAGCGAGUGGCGAACGGGUGAGUAACGCGUGAGGAACCUGCCUCAAAGAGGGGGACAACGGCUGGAAACGACUGCUAAUACCGCAUAAGCCCACGGUGCCGCAUGGCACAGGGGGAAAAGGAGCAAUCCGCUUUGAGAUGGCCUCGCGUCCGAUUAGCUAGUUGGUGAGGUAAUGGCCCACCAAGGCGACGAUCGGUAGCCGGACUGAGAGGUUGAACGGCCACAUUGGGACUGAGACACGGCCCAGACUCCUACGGGAGGCAGCAGUGGGGAAUAUUGCACAAUGGGGGAAACCCUGAUGCAGCGACGCCGCGUGGAGGAAGAAGGUCUUCGGAUUGUAAACUCCUGUUGUUGGGGAAGAUAAUGACGGUACCCAACAAGGAAGUGACGGCUAACUACGUA